rnacentral:lncRNA from 1 species
AAAAUCAAGCUAAAUUUUGUUUUUGGGUAUGAAUCCCUUCUUUUUUUGCAGCUCUACCUUUUUCUUUUGGCAAUAAUGUAUUGUAAGAAAUUGAUGAUCCAUUCAAUGCUAUACUUUUUUAUUAAGGUGUGGAUAUGAUCAAGAAGGCUUACUUUUGAACACAUUGGCAAAGACAGAUGGAAUCAUGGGACUGAGCAGGGCAAAAGUGAGCCUACCUAACCAGUUAGCAAGUAAAGGGCUUAUUAAGAAUGUGGUUGGUCAUUGCUUGAGCAAUGAUGAAGUCGGUGGAGGUUACAUGUUUUUGGGUGAUGAUUUCUUGCCAUAUUGGGGUAUGACUUGGGUACCAAUGGCCUAUACCCUUACUACGUGAGUAUGAUUUCUUAAUUAAGAAUGUGAUUAUUCCCAUUUAAUUAUGAAGCGAGUUUGAUUUUCUUUUGUGAAACUGUUUUCAUUUGAAAAUGUUUUUAUGUAUUCUGAAACUGUGUUUUUCCUGAUGCCGAGUACUAUUCUGAUGUUUGCUCUGAUUCUUCUCGUGUGGAAUGCACUCUAAUCUACAGGGAUUUAUACCAAACUGAGAUUUUUGGAAUAAAUUAUGGAAAUCGGCAACUCAGUUUUGAUGGCCAAAGCAAAGUAGGAAAGGUGGUUUUUGAUAGUGGCAGUUCUUAUACAUAUUUCCCAAAAGAAGCAUACUUGGAUCUUGUUGCUUCUGUGAGUUUUUACAUUUAUCAAUCUGGAACCAUUUUGUAAAUUUUUCUUGAGUCUGUUCAUGAACACCACAAAUUCAUUACUUAUACGUAUUGGUGCAGCUUAAUGAAGUUUCUGGGUUGAAACUCGUUCAAGAUGAUUCAGAUACUACUUUACCCAUUUGCUGGCAAGCAAAUUUCCCAAUCAAGUAGAUAAACUACUCAAUGUGCAAUUAUUUUUUGCAUUUGUAAUGUUAUUUUUAUAAUAACUAAAGUAACUUAAUUUGUAAAGCAGUAAUUACACAAGGUGAAAUGACACUAUUUAGUUCUAAAAUCCAUGUUACAUGAAUGCAGAUCUGUCAAAGAUGUCAAGGAUUACUUCAAGACCUUAACUCUUCGGUUUGGAAACAAGUGGUGGAUUUUGUCCACAAUUUUUCAUAUACCUCCAGAGGGUUACUUGAUCAUUAGUGUAAUCCUAUCUUUCUAUUACAACUUUUGUUCCAACUGAUUUAGUUACUGUCAUUCAUUCUAAAAAACUACCUUUUUGCUGCAGAACAAAGGGAAUGUGUGCUUGGGUAUCCUUGAUGGUAGUGAUGUAAACGAUGGAUCCUCAAUUAUUCUUGGAGGUACUCUCAUCCUUAUGAAAACCUGAAAGCUUACAAAUAAUUUCUAUUUUUUUAAUAUCUCCAAUUUAUCUUACACUACUUGACUUAGCUUAUAAUCUUUGUAUAUUUGUGUUUAAUGUGUUUGAUGAUGAAUAACUCAACUGGGGUGAUUUUUGCAGACAUUUCAUUCAGAGGAUACUUAGUUGUGUAUGAUAAUGCAAAGCAGAAAAUUGGUUGGAAGCGAGCAGACUGUGACAUGUCAAGCAGAAGAUUGAGAAAGAAAAACAGUUUUAUCCCUGAUACCAUGCUAUAAUUCACUCUAAGGAAAACAAUAUAACUUGUAUUAUUUAGAUCCUUUCAUGCUAAAAUCUAAGAUGGCAUCCACGAAUAAAACAGCCAAUGUAGAGUUACACACAAAAUAUAGGAACUUAGAAGAGUAAUGGAUAUAAUAGCUUAUUUUAUACUCCAAUCACUAUUUCACUAUUAUAUCCUUUUUUUUUUUUCUAAAUAUAAGAUUCAUAUAACUAUUUUUUUUUUUUUCAAAACUUUUAAGUAGUUGAUGGAUGGAGAGAGGACAUUGAUAGUGUAGUUUUAAUAUUUAAAAUUAAAGUCUAUUUUUUUAAAAUUUUCAUGGAAAAGAGGAAGAGACGAAAUAUAGUGUUUACUGCUUGUAAAUUAAAGUAAUUUAAGAUACUUUAAUAGAAAAGUAAUCAAUAGAAAGGAUAAUUAAAAAAAGGGUCUUCUAUAAAAUUAUAAGAUUAAUGAAAAUAUAAAACCGAAUGAAAAAUACUUAAAGUAUAUAAAAAAGUUCUUAACUGAAAUAAUGUAAGCAGUUAUAGUAUAGACCAAAUUUAUAAUUUAAAAAUAUAAAAAUGGAAAUUACAGAAAAAGUAAGAGAUAUAUAAUUUAUUAUUUAGUGUAUAUACGGGUCAGAUACUAGAAGAAGGAAAAUAAUAAAUAGUCUUCUUUAUCCAAACCUGCCAAAAACAAAAUUGAGAGCGAAAGAUCAGACUGCACCCACCACUAACAAUGACGGAGCCGCCGCCGCCUCCGCCGCCGAAUCCUCCGGUACCGCCACCGUCACAAACCUUAUCGCCGGAAAACGACGUCGCAAUGUCUCCCCAAAACUCCUCCGAAGACCCAGACUCCUCCCUCCCCACCCAAAUGACUCCCGAGCCCGCCGUUCCGGAAUCCCCAGACUCCACCACGACCCGACAAGACCCGGUUCCACCGCCGCGAAAACGUCGCCGUCGCAAGAAGUUCUUUACGGAACUCAACGCUCCGUCCUCCACUCGCCGAAGCGACGUAGCCAAGGACUGCGACGUGGAAGCCCUAAUAGCGAUCUCGGUGGGGUUCCCAGUGGACUCGUUGACCGAGGAAGAGAUCGAAGCGAACGUGGUUUCCACCGUCGGUGGCUCCGAGCAAUCGAACUACAUCGUCGUCCGAAACCACAUAUUGGCGCGGUGGCGGUCCAACGUUUCUGUCUGGUUAACCCACGACCGGGCCCUCCGGUCAAUCCGGUCGGAGCACAAGGGUUUGGUUGAAACCGCGUACCGGUUCCUCCUGGAGCACGGUUACAUUAACUUCGGCCUCGCGCAAGAGAUAAAAACCCUAAAGCUGAAACCUUUCGAUGGGUCUGAUCGAGGAACGGUGAUUGUGAUCGGUGCUGGGUUCGCGGGUUUGGUUGCAGCUAGACAAUUAGUGUUUAUGGGGUUUAAAGUCGUGAUUUUGGAGGGUAGGACCCGACCCGGCGGGAGGGUCAAGACAAAGAAGAUGAGUGGUGAUGGUGUUGAGGCUGCAGCAGAUUUCGGUGGGAGUGUCCUCACUGGUAUAAAUGGGAACCCUCUUGGGGUACUUGCUAGGCAAUUGGGUUUGCCAUUGCAUAAGGUUAGGGAUAUUUGUCCUCUGUAUUUGCCUGAUGGUAGGAGUGUUGACCCUGAAGUUGACUCUAGGGUUGAGGUUUCGUUUAACAAGUUGUUGGAGAGGGUUUGUAAGCUCAGACAGGCGAUGAUUGAGGAGGUGAAGUCGGUGGAUGUGCCAUUGGGGACGGCAUUGGAGGCUUUCAGAAGGGUUUACAAGGUCGCUGAGGAUAAGGAGGAGAGGAUGCUGUUGAAUUGGCACCUUGCAAAUUUGGAGUACGCGAAUGCAACUCUCAUGUCCAACUUGUCGAUGGCGUAUUGGGAUCAGGAUGAUCCCUAUGAGAUGGGGGGUGAUCAUUGCUUCAUUCCAGGGGGGAAUGAGACAUUUGUUCGCGCAUUGGCAGAGGAUCUGCCGAUUUUCUAUGGGAGGACUGUGGAGUGUGUGAAGUAUGGGAGUGAUGGAGUGGCGGUUUCUGCUGGUGGGAUGGAGUUCAGAGGGGAUAUGGUGCUUUGUACAGUGCCAUUGGGGGUGCUUAAGAAGGGGAAUAUUGAGUUUGUGCCUGAACUUCCUCAGAGGAAGAAGGAUGCUAUUCGUAGGUUGGGGUUUGGGUUGUUGAACAAGGUUGCAAUUUUGUUUCCAUAUAAUUUCUGGGGCGGGGACAUUGAUACUUUUGGUCAUUUGACUGAGGAUUUGAGUAUGAGGGGUGAGUUUUUUUUGUUCUAUAGCUACUCCUCGGUGUCUGGGGGUCCGCUUCUGGUGGCUCUUGUUGCUGGGGAGGCUGCAAUUAGGUUUGAGAUGAUGUCACCGGUGGAGUCUGUGAAAAGGGUGUUGGACAUUCUGAAGGAUAUUUUUAAUCCAAAGGGGAUUGUUGUUCCGGAACCUGUUCAGGCGGUGUGUACUCGGUGGGGGAAGGAUCACUUUGCUUACGGAUCUUACUCUUAUGUUGCUGUUGGGUCUUCAGGGGAUGACUAUGACAUUCUUGCAGAGAGUGUUGGGAAUGGAAGAGUGUUCUUUGCUGGAGAGGCAACUAGCAAGCAAUAUCCUGCAACUAUGCAUGGAGCGUUUCUCAGUGGAAUGAGAGAGGCUGCAAACAUUUUGAGAGUGGCAAAGAGGAGGUCUUCCAUACCUGACACAUCAAAAAGUAACAUCCAGGAGGAUGAUGAUUUGCACAAACUGUUUUUGAAACCUGAUAUGGCAUUUGGUAGCUUCUCUGCAUUGUAUGAUCCAAAACUUAAAGAUCUUGAUUCCAGUUCAUUACUGAGGGUUAAGAUUGGAGGUGCUGGCAAUCUUUAUCUCUAUGCCUUGCUCUCAAAGAAGAGGAUCAUUGAGUUGAGUCAGGUGGAGGGGGAUGAGAACAGGAUGAGAAUUUUAAACCGCAAUUUCGGGGUGAGUUUAGUUGGGAGGAAGGGUUUAAGUGGUGCGGCUGAAUCUCUUAUUGGCAGCAUAAAACUGUCUAGACACAACUUUGAUGCAGUGGAAAAUUGACUUACGGCUGGAAAAGCAGAUUCUUAACAGCAUCAUGGAGAAUAGAACUUCCUUGAUCCUGUUAUAUUAUUAAACUUAGAUUCUUCAGAGAUCUAAUUAGAUUCUGACCAAUUUUCCACGUGUUACCUUUUUUUCAAGGAUGUUCCACAAUGAACAAAAGCAGUUAGCAGUACUGUUUUCUCUUUAUGAUUUUGAAUGUAAAAAUGUUAGGUCGAGUCUGGUAACUACUAAAACUCUUCAAGAACUAGUUCAAAUAGUGAAUUAAAGAUUCAAUGAUACCCCAAAGGGUGGCUUAGAUUUCUUCUUGGACAGGUCAUUUAUUUUGAAAUGAUUACUUUGUCCUUUAUAUUUUAUAAUAAUUAUAGUCUUUUAAAUUUUUUUCUCUGGAAGUCUUCUUUUUAUUAAACAAUUUGAAGUUUUAAAUUAAAAGUUUGAAAAACUAUUUUUAAAAUAUUUAAUCUAAAAUUAUAAUUUCAAAUUCUGAGUUUGUUAAUUUAAAAAUAAUUAGUAUCCCUUUUAUGUUCUGAUAAAAAAUAGUUGACACUGAAAACUUGAGAAAAGAGAAAUGAGAUGUAAAACGUAACUGUCGUCUCUCCUAAUGUACAGGAACAGCAGACAUUAAUUAAUAUGGCUUUCAGUUAUGAGACACAUCAACAAAUCAGCAAUCAAUCAAACUAUAUCUUACUAUAGUUGUGCAUGUGUGAUGUCUCUAAUUUUAAAAUAUACAUUUCAAUACCUUCAUAACUUUUUUUGUUUCUAAAUAAUUACUCAUUUUUCUUUUGUGAUAAAUAAAUAUCAUUUUUUUUAUAUAUUUUAAUAAAUUGAGAUUACUUUUCUUGUUAUACUUUAAAAUGUCAUACUGACUAAGAUUUGAAUAAAAUUAUAUAAAUAAAAAAUAAUUUUUAAAAUAAAAAUUCUUUUAUAAAUAAAAUAAGAAAAGUGAGUAUAUAUUAUUAAAAAAAUACAAAAAAUAAGUUUUGUUUAUUAGAGUAUGAGAAAUGUUUGUAUAUUUAAAAGUUUAAAAAAUAUAUAAAUUAUUUUUGUUAAAAAUAUAACAAAUAAAUAAUCAUUUUAAAAACCGAGAAUUGUAUAUUAUUUGUGUAAGUAAAUUUUUUUCUUAUAUCUUGUAUUCAUAUUAAUUUUUCAAACUUGACAACUUUAUUUAAUUAUUAUCAUGUUUAAGUUAACAUUUUGAUUACCAUUAAUAUUUCAUACUUGCAUGAACUUCUUUAAUUUUUCAAUGUAUCUUGUAUUAAUGUUAUCUAUGAUGUAUAUUUGAAUUCUAAAAUAUAAUUCAAAAUGUAUAUCUACAUUUAAAAUAUAUUCUAAAUUACACGAUUAGAAAAUACAUAUAAAUUAUUAAAAAUUAAUAAUUUUAUAUUUAUGCACUCUAAAACACAAUGUCUAAUUUUUUUUUUUUAUUUUCAAAUAGGACGAUUUGAAAAAUAUGAAUCACUCAAUCCAAAAAAUUUAAAUCACUGAAUCUAAAAUCUUUGUGCGGAAUUAUAUAGGAAAUUAUUAAAGCAUAGAAAGGAAAUGUGAAUUACAAGAAAAAAAAAACUACCCAAUUAAGAGUUUAAGUUUAUAUGGUCACCGAAUAAAUGUAAACCUAAUUGCCCACUUUUUUUACAUUAGCUACUGAUAUUUUAGAAUGGACAUAUUUUAAGCAGAUAAUGAAUAUAUUCAUUGUAUUGGUAAAUCAAAAUUUCAUACAAAAUAUGUUCACAUUGGUAAAUCAUAAUUAGUGGUCAUCAAAACCGAUCUCACCUCCGGACAAUGUUUCUUCACUACAAAGAACCUGGUAAUACUGAUAAAAUGAAAGCAAAGCAGGAUCACCACAAUGAUAUGUGAUACAAAAGAUUGAGCAAGUUGGCGUGUUGCCAAUUACACAAGAAAAUGUAAAUCUUAUAUAAAAAGAAAAAGAAAGAAAAACUAACGACAGCAGGCAGACUGAUCUAGCUAGACAUCUUGACUUGAUCACUAGAUUGUAGUGCUUGAGAGGCGAAAAACCUAACAUCAACAUCUGGAUCCUCACUCAGCUCAACCAGACAGGGACGAAUGGUAUUCUCAACGACCUUCAUUAUUCAAACGAUAAUUUCGAUCAGUAAUUAAAGAGACACUAAAAAAAAUAUGCAUUGGGAGAGGGCAACCCAACAGUCUUCUAUCAAACAGUAAUGCAUUUCAUAUCAUUCCUCACUGUCACAAGCUUUAUUGAAAAAAACAAACUAUAGUCUAUUGAGAACAAUUGGGACAGAGAUUUUCAAGUGAUAACAUUGCCAUUUACCAGUACCAAGCAGUCAGCUUAGCUUUCAACCAACUAGUUUUGUAAUCCAAGCAUUUUCCACAAAUAAUUAGUUUGAAAUUCUUUAUAUAGUGAUAAAGUCAAGAAACAACCAAUUCAAAGUAGCAUAAAAUAAAUUACAACAAAAACUAAUCUGGGCCUCAAUAUUUCUGAACCAAAUUAACACAUAAUAUGGCUCUCCUCGGAUUAAUUUUCAAAAUACUAGAUUUUUUAGUUUAGAGAUCCAUACGGUAUUGUAGUCCAAGUAACAUGUGAUGGAGGCAUGUUAAAGAUGAAACUUUAAAUGGAAGCUACUUACAGACUGAUCAACAAUUGGGAUGAGAGACUGCAACACUUUGGCUACAUUGAAUUUGAUAUUAGGUACCCUGCAAGACAUGUUAUGAGUAUUGGCUCAAAGGGAGAUACACAAAAGAAGUAAGGACUACACAAUUUUACCUAUCUUUUGAUGCAUUAAUGACCAGAGGGAGAAGUUUUGAAGAAGUAAUCUCCGAGCCCAAAACAGGAGCCAGUAGAGAAAUUGCUUGUAGGAUCGUCAUCCGAUACAGAUAGUGUGGAUCAGUAACCAUGUCCAAAACCUGCAAAGGAUACAGUAGUUCAUUAGAUAAUAGCAUUCAGGACAUAUUUUUCUAAUCCUUGAAGUACUAAGAAAAGUGUCUACUGAAACAAAAUUUCCAGCACACAUUCUACAAGUAGAUAGAAUAGAAUCUUUCCCCAGUCACUACCGAACCCAAUUCAAAAUCUAGGGUUUCUUUAAAUGAUAUAAACCUUGUUUUCCUUCUCCCAAUGCCUUUAAAGAAUGUAAGACUUUCCCUUUUCUUUUCACUUUAACCUUUUAGCCCUGUGUAAUUCCUUUUGCAGCUCGCAAACCAAUUCCAAUAGUUCGUUUCAUUUCUAGAUAUCGUGUGCUUACUUUUCCAUUAACAUUAUUUCUAAAUCAAUAUUACCUUGCAAUUUUUUUGUUUUCUUAUUAAUCUAUAGUUGAUUACGGGCUUUCCGCUUAUGCUAAGAUGUCAAUACCAAGAAACCUAUAUUAAUUUUAAUUGAUCUUUAAACAAAUUUCAUAACCUAAGCAAAAUUGGCCGCAGAUAGAAUUCCUACAAGUCAAGGUAAACAUUAAGGAUGUUCUAUGAUAUCACUGGUGUAGGAAUCCUUUUCUGUAGUUCAAGCUAAAACAUACUGAAAAUGUAGAUUAACAAACUAAGUUUCUGUUUUCAAACCUGGGGAAUAAUGUGUUGCAUUGCCCAAUCCGGUCCAAAUUCUUCUGCUAAGCGUUUGAUGUUAUUUGCGGCCGCAUCACGGAUUGAGUAUACCUACAAAUACAUGAACAUACAUUAAAGAAAUUCAAUAUAACACAACGAGUCUAUAAUAAAAAAUACUAAAAUAAGAAGCAGAACGGAAUUGAACACCCCUACCCCUAGUAAAAAGGAAUGAAUAGUUGUCUUCGUGACCAGAAGAGUUUUGAAUAUUUUUUUAUAACCGACUGGGUGAAUGAAAGAUUCAGUUUAAACCUUCCAUCAAACAUAAGACUUGUAAUCUUUAUAUUAAACAUUAAGUGGUAUUUUCCUUUUGGGUCUUUCUACAGUCAAUCCUAAACCACCAUCAAAUUGAAAAUUAAACAUAAAAUAACUUACACUAACUUUUGCUUAUUCUUUUCGCCCUCUAAAAUUAAGAUAUGUAAGUAACACCAAUUUCUCUUCUUUUUCCUUUUCAUGUGAAAAGAAAAGGCCAUGUUUCCAAAUACAUGUCAGAUAUAAGCACCAUAAAAAAAGCCAAGCACUGUAGUAGAGUUUGACCUGACUUGUUUGUUUAUUUAAAAGUAACGUAUUAAAGAUAAUAACGAGCUUUAAAAUUAUAGAAAAAAUCACAUUAUUAUUAUUAUUAUCACCAUCAUUUUGAUUAUCAAAAGAACUUCUUAAGAAAGACAGAAGGUACUACUCACUACAAGAGGAUAGGAUAUCCUAAAAACCUAAUCCAAAAAAUGAUCAAAAGGAAAACAUAAAAAUCAAGAACAUGAAACAUGUAUCAAUACAUAUCAAUCUCUCUGAAGAAGUAUAAAAAAUAGUUCUCCUAGAAAGUCCUUUAGACCACAAAGAAGUUAAGUGUACAACCUAUCCCAAAUCCUUUGGGCAUUUCUUUCCAACCAAAUAUACCAAAAAUGGAGCACAUUGAGCAAACCUAAUCUUCACCAACAGCGCCGCACAAAUUCCCAAAGACAUGUAAUUCUAUCAUUUUUUUUUGCUUAAACAUACAAAAUAUUGCAUAAACUAAACAUUUGUUUACCAAACAAUACACACAUAUAUAAGAAAUUUAUAAUAACAUUCCUAAAGCUCAAGACAAAAUAACUUGUUUUCCAUAAAAUAGACAUAAAAAGUAAGAUUAGAACCAAUUGAAAAUAAUUGCACUUGCUUCACAAACCUUGUCCUUUAGCCAUUGCAUGCAAAGAGCACCGAGCUUAUCAUCAAAAAACCCAACACCCAAUUGGCUUGCCAAUAAGGGUAUAUAUUCUAUGAUAGCAAGUCGAACUCUCCAGUGCCGAUCCUCGGCAAGCUCAACAAUAGCUGGCAACAGAGACUGAGAUAACAAAUCGAUACCAAUAACCUGCAAUCCACGUGUAAAAUUACAAGCUUCUAAGAGGUAGUAUAUGAAAAAUAAUAAUUUUGAAACGUACAUAGCCAAUCUAAAAGAACGUUGAAUUUUAAGCCACAAACCUGAUUCACUUGAUCAAGCUUGCUGAUAAUAUUUAGUCUGACAUCAGGAAAUUCGUCUUUCAAAAGAGAAAGGAAAAUAGGCAGGAGUUGCUCAAUUGUUGCAUCCUGCAACCACCACAUAAUUAUUGGAAAAGCAAGAAGGCACGUAAGUUGAAUUGCUUUUAGCUAGGAACAGUAUCAAGAGUUAAGGAAUAAAAUCAAAUAUUUUUCCCAACAGAGCAGAGUAUUAGUAAACAGAAACAAACGUGCUAGUAUGAGGAGAUGAAAAACAAUAAAGUGGAGAAAAUAGGCAGAGGUCCAAAAAUAAAGUGGAGAAAAUAGGUAAAGGUUUCACUUUUCAGUUUUUUAUAUUUUGUACAGACCAGAAUAUUAUUAACUAAUUUUUUUUUUCUAUAAGGGGAUGGCCAAAGUUUGGAAAGCAAAUAGACCAAAUCCUGCCAAAGGCAUGUAUUGUAGAGAUACAAAAGUAUGCCUAUUUCACCUCAUGCGGCAUGAUAUGUUUAUGGAUAGUGAUAAAUAUAUAACCUGAUGUUUAAUGCCACUGCAAGUGAUAGGUGGAGGAUCUAGAAAAUUUAAAGUGUGAAUGGGAACGAAACAAUACAUAGGCACAAAAACAAUCUACUCUUAACAUUCAUAUCAAUAAAAAAAGUAAUGAUAUUGUAUAGAAAUGUGAUCAAUCUAUUAGUCAAGAAGGAAUAAAGAAAUCAAGACCUGAAUGAAUUAUCUGAUUCGAAAGAUAAUUCUUGCCAUUUUUUAUGAAAAGGGAAUUAAGAUAAAGAGAAAAGCAUAAAUAACAAACCAUGAUCUUAAACUAAUUUGUACAUUUAAAAAAGGAUAGUUUCCCCCAAAAGCAAAAUUCUAACUCAAAAAUAACUAUGCAAGAAAAAGGUAUAUAAAAUUGAGUUAUCUGAGCAAUAGCCCAAGCGAUUGAGGUUAGAUGGUGAAUAGAUCAAGGGCAUAAAUUUAUCUCAUGGUAAUAACUCUAACAUGUAAAAUAAUUUUAUUUUUUCAAAAUCUUUAUUCAACUUAUUGAUUAGUGAGGGCAAUUUAAAUAUAUAGUAAACCACGAAAUCAUAUUCUAAUAGAAUUAAGGUAGAUAUGGCAAUUGCCCCAAGUUAUAAUAGGAUAAAACAUAUCUGCCAUGAGAAAAAAGCAUAACAAAACAUUUUUAACUAUUGAUGCAAAUGGGUACGAAUUUUGUAAUUAUCUAAUGUAUUGUAUAAAAAUGAAAAUACAGUAAUUAGGGAUAUCAUGAGCAGUAUAAUUUUGUAGCCCUUACUCAAUAUGCCUCUGGCUUUAAUUAUAAAUAAAAACCUCCAUUGUAUAAUCAAGACACAUGAAUUCAUUCACAUUACCUCUCGUUUUUCUCUCCCAUAACAAUUAAAUACUUAAGUCACAUUUGGAAAGACUUCCUUAAAUGCUAAACCAUCUAUUCAUAUAAUAACCUAAGUCGUAUGAUUUUCUAUCCCUUUUCAAACACUUCCGUAGACACAUUUGUAAAUGUCCUAAUUUUAUGUUUGUAUAAUUUAAGAGCUUAGAGAAAGCCUCAUACCUUCCCCAACACUGGUGCCAUUCCCAUUAUAACGGAAGCCAAUGCAGAGCGAACAUGUUGAGAUGAAUCGCUUGAUAGCUCCUAUAUUAGGUAAACUUGAUCGAUUGUAAUUGAGUUAUUAUCAUAAAUUUUAAAACUAUAAGAGACCCAAGGUAACUGUAUACCUUCACACAGGGUAGAAUAUGCUGAAUGGCAAGUUCAGGACUUAGAAUGCGGGAGAACUUAGUUACUUUCCCAGCAGCAGCAAUACGUACUUCAGCCUCAUUAUCACGCAGCAGCCUAACAUAGGCAGGAACCAAUUCUGACCUACAAAUGCAUCACAUUUAUAUAAAUAGUCAACUUGAAUCUAUGAAACAAAUACGUUUUAAUUUUUUAAAUAAUGUCAUAGAUUAUAAAGAAAUUAACAUGAGGUCAUAACUUGUAUACAUUAAAUCAUGAAGCAUAGUAGUUUUUUUAACCAAAUGAAAAAUGUUCAGUGAUUAGUAACACGGACUUUCAGAUAGAAGACAUAAAUGGUUACCUGGUGGGAUCAGGACCAACAGCUUCACAUAGCUCGUAUAGUUGAUUUGCAACCAUGUAACGAACACGCCAUGACUUGUCCUGUAUAAGAAGUAAUUCAACUAAGUAAAUGUGACAAAAACAAACAGAAAUUCACUUCAGAAAGUUGGAAACAACACAAGCCAGCAAAAACCAAAUUAAUUUUUUAUUUAGUUUUUUGGCUUUUGAUAUUGAGAACACGUAAAAAGGUUCUUCAAAAUGAGAAAAAGGAUGGGACUACUAAAUAUGAAAAGCGUGCAUACAACUAACUAACAGUAAAACCAUAAAAGAAUACAACUUCUAGAGACCUACAUCAGGAUUAAACUAAUUCAACUGUCAAAUAACUCCUGAUGCAAUUCAUUACUACUCACAAGUCAACAAACUCGUGUCAUGCGAAUUCAAUAUGUGCUAAUGAAGUGGUGUGGGGAAUGUUAUCACCCUAGCAGGUCCAUUUCCAACUUUAACCUUUUAAUUUGAAUUAGUUUAAGAUUAUCAUUCUUCCACCAACAAAGAUCUAGGUACAGUGCAUCAUAUUCAUACAGGUUAGAUGCUCAAUAUAAUUUGUAUUUACACAAGUGUAUGCUUCAAAAAGUAAUAAAUAAGCCACAAUCAUGCCGAAAACAAGUAGCUAUCAAGGGUAAAUAAAGAAUCCUUUCAUAUAAUAUUAUUCAACAAAAACAAAAUACUUUUCCCACACCGUUGUGUUCUGUCCAAAAUCGAGUCUUUAUAGAAGUUAUUUAGAUCUAAAUUAUUUUUAAUGGUUUAUGAAGUUUUCUCGCUCUUCCUCUACGUUGUACUAAUAGCCAGUCCUCCAUUUAAUCAACUCUAUUUCUGCAGCUUCUAUUGGUCUUCUUCAACAUGACCAUACUAUCUUUGGUGUAAUUCUACAUUUUUUUUUCUAAGAGGUGCUACCCUCGCUUUCUCUCUGUUAAGAGUAGAGUACUGAGCAUGUGUUUAGCAUGCUCGAGCUAUGAGGGUAAAUGUAUCCUUUGCACUGUCUCGUACUACAUUUUACUACUACUAGGAACUAGAGCUUAGCUUACUACACAUAAAUAAUAUACUAUAACCACAUUGAGACAAGUUUCUCUUAUUCACAAAGUUAAAUUUAAUUCCUAAUCUUAUGUAUUAUUUGAUGUGCAUCCUCUAUUGUUUAUUAUCAUGUCAGCAACACUAAACGAAGCCCAUGUUUGUACUAUGGCUGUGUAGUAAGUUGUCACUUAAGUCUGAAAGAAUAUUACAAAGCACCAAAAAUAAAUAGUUUUGCAGUUAAGUGUUUGCUUUCCAUCCCGUACAUCCUUUACAUUAGAAUAAAGAAAUUUGAACGGAUAAUAUUUUUCACGCACUCUUCCUGUGAAACAAAACAAAUUUAUUUGCAUAGUGUACAUAUGUUUGGAAAGGGACAGACCAAUAAUUAAACUUGUAUUCAGCCUAUCGAUAUACUCUUACAUAUAUAGUUAACUAAAGCAAUCCAAAUGUCGAAUUCAAGACAUCCCUUGGAUAAGUGUUGGCCACAAAAUGGCUAUGGAAGAUAUAUCUCUACAUAUAUAGAAUUACUAUUGGUCAACAAACCUGAGAAAAAUUGACUAUGACAGGAAGAAUAUGUGCCACACAAUCCUGAGGCUCCAACAAUUUUCCUAGAGCUGCACAACCCUCAACAGCAAGCAGCCGAACAGAAUCUUGAUCUGAAAAGAACAAGGGUCAAGAAAUCAUUGGUUAAUACACGCAACUCCAUCCAACCAAUCAACUUAAAAAAUAGACUAAAAUAACUAUUCCACAAAUGACCAUAAUGCAAUAAACCUGUAUUUAUUUCUCCCAUUAGUCAGUCUAAUAUACUGACUCAAACAAAAACUUCAGUAUGCCAAGGUUCCUGAUAAUAUUAUAAGGAAGAAUGAUACAAUUGUUCUAUUCAUGACUAGCAGUUAUGUGAAUUUCACUUGAACAGUUCCACCAUCUGGCGUCUUCCUAAUUAAAAAUAUUAUCACUGUUCCUUUUAUUGCAAAGAUCAAUAACAAAAGGCAAUCAGUGAAAGUCUGCAAGUGUCUGCAGUUAUUUAUAAACAGUUAACAUACAUAUUUCACCUUUUAUACCACGAUUUUGGACUAAGAGGAAACUAAGAUAAACAGAGAUCAAAUAUGAAAAGUUGAGAACCAUUAGACUGUUACAAAAUAUUUUUUGUAUUCUAGGGUCUUUACUUUCAUGAAUACCUUUCAGAUUAACAUCACGCAUGAAAUAGUUGAAACUUGUCUACGACUCCAAAAAUACCUUAAUCAGAUGCAAUCUAUUUUGCUUUCAGUUUGUUUUUUGUUAAUCUUGUGAACUUAAAUAUAUCUAAUUCCCAAUCUAGACAAGGUUAUUAUAGACAAACAUAAAUCCCUAGAAGAAACAGAUAGCCUGAGUAAUGUCAUUCACAGCUAACAAAGUACGUGGGUCCUCAACUCAUCUAAGCAGCAAAAUUUUUGAGCUAUAUACAAUUACAAACACUAAAACUGUUUCCUCUAUCCUACUAUUAUAUAACAGAUUAAUGAUGAGAUGCUGGAAUUCCCCGCAUCAUCUUCACAUACCAUCUUGUGUAAGAUCCUCAAACACAGACAUGAUGUCUGAUUUCAAGUGAGGAGCUUCAACGGUGGCAGCAAACUUUCCCAAGUUUGUAGCAGCAGAUCUCCUAACCAUCGGCAUAUCAUCUUGACAGAGUUGGCCAUAUAUGGCUCUCAGUUCAGUCUUCACCACCUCCGGCGCACUAGGGUAUGCAAUAUGGAACAAGCCGCAAGAAGAAACUCGUGCUGUGAACCACUCGCCAGCAGCCAGCCUCUACAACAAUGAAAAUAACAAAAACAAUGAAACCCACUCAAACCACAAUCAGACUCAUAAUAUAAUCCUAUUUAGAUAAAUUCCUCGUGAGCGAGUAAAAUGAAUUGAGGCCUAAGCUCAAAUCAACGUAUGCAUUUAAUUUUCAGAGAAAUUAUUUUCGUUAACUUCUCCGAAACCUAAGCGGCAUCAUUUGAUUUUAUAGCUUAUGGAAAACUCACUUCAAAGAACUUACAAUGAAGUUUAUACAAACAAAACCUAAAAUGAUGAAUAAAAACGCAGUGCAACUAUCUAUAUGUACUACCUUAACUAAAGGAAUGAAGUGUUCAACCAAAUCCUGCUCCUUCAUCUGAGCCCCAAUCCUACACAGCGACUCCACCGAUUUGUCUCUGACGCAAGUUUCCUCAACCGUGCAGAGCGUCUCCAACGGAGGAAGAAGCACGUUGGCGUGUUCCACGCCUCCCACGUAGGGAAUGAACACGCCCAAUUCUUCAGCCAUUGCGAGAAGGACUUCAUCGUCGUCGUCGUUAUUCUCGCUGAGAAACGGAAUCAGCUCCUUCCGCGUUCGCUCCUCGCCAAGCGCCCGCGCGAUCGUGGAGAGCCGUCGGAUCGAGUUCAGCCGCAGCUGAAUAUCCUCGUUCUUCAGCUCAUCGAUCAAUACGGCAAUCGGAUACAGAGGCUGGUCCACCAUCGCCAUGUGGUUUCACCGGAUCCUCAAAAACUGCAAGGAUCGGAGAUCAACGAUUCACUCGAUUUCAAUUAAGCAAAAAUUCAAAACACAAAACGACAAAAGGAAAGAGCGAGAGAGAAACAAGAAAUCUACAAUACACUGCUUGAUCUAAAGCAAUUGAGCCGUAGUUCGAAGAGAAAUUGAAGAAAAAAAUGAGAAAAAAAAUGAAUGAAUGUGCUGCUGUGGCAGAGAGAGAGAGAGGGAAGAAAGAGAAGUGAUGUUGUGACACCUGAGAGGGGAUUUGUUGAAGGACGGAGAGGAAUGGGAAUGUAGCGCGGAUCGGAUCUGCCGUUUGGAUUGAGAGAAAAUUGGUUUUAUAAUUUUCCCUGGAAUUUCACCAUUCUCGAGGGUGUAACUGCUUCUUCUCCUUGUAUUGUUCAUCAUUGGCUGCAAAUUUCUUCUUAUAAUUAUGAAAAAAAAAUAUAUAUUAUAAAAGAUUGUAGCGUAAAUAUGAUUUCUUCUUUAGAAUAAUUGAAAUCAAACUACAAAUAAUAUGCACUGUCAAUUAAUUCUUCUAUUGUAAAAAAAAGGUUUUAAAAUUUUUAAAUUGUUUCCUUUUUAAAUUUAUUUUUUGUAAUGAUAUUCCUGGGUUGGAUUGUAAAGACAAAGUAAUCCAUACGUCGAAAAGAAUUAUAAUAUAUAUUAUUAUAGUUGUAGCAAAUUUUUACUCUAUUGUUAUUGCGAGUAAUUGAAAAGAAUGAAAAUUUAGAAUAAUUUACGACUAAUAAUUGUAAUGAUAAUUGGUACAAAAUUUUAAUAAAAUAAUUAUAAAUACUAGGAUUAAAUAUGUUUUUAGUCCUAUAUUUUGGGACGAUUUUGGUUUUAGUUCUUCUUUUAAAUUAAGGCUGGUUUCAGAAACAGUAAAUAAAGUUAAGAAAAAUUUGAUAAAAAAAGACUAAAACCAGAAUUUUCUAAAGUUGAAGAAGAAAAUUAUACCAAGAGAGACUAAAAUCAAAAUCGCCCCAAAGUAUAGGGACUAAAAACAUAUUUAAUCCUAAAUACUACUAUAGACUAUCACAGAAUACGUAGAUGAUAUUCAAAUAUUGUCAAUAAAAAUAUUAUCUAAGUAUCAUUAUCCUAAUUGGAAACAAGAGUAUUUUAAUCAAUUAUUUUUUUUUUAUUUCUAUUUCUGUUAGGGAUUAAUAUUUUGAACUGAAGUAAUAAUUGUUUGAGCUUAACUUUUAUGUAUUGGGUAAAAAAGAGAAUUUUCAUAUUGAUAAUAAUUAUAGAAGUUAACAUUUUCAUACGAUAAUUUUUGUUGUUUGCAUGAGUAUUUUUAUAUCUUUUUUAUGCUUGUGUUAUUUAGAAUUAAUUUGUUUAAGAUUAAAAAAUUAAAUAAAACAAUUUAGUGAUUAUUUUGUCUAAAAAGUAUAAUUUGAACAUUUUAAAUAAAUAUUUGGACUAAUGAGUUUAAAUAUGAGAAUAAAGUAACAAUUUUAUCAUAUCAACAAUUACAUAACGCGAAAAAUUUAACCACGUUGAAAGCAAGAGUUUGUAGAUUCAUAACCACAUCAAAAUAAAAUAUUUUAUAUUUUUGUUAAAUAAUCUAAUAUAUAUAUAUAUAUAUAUAUAUAUAUAUAUAAAUUAUGUCAAAGUGUGUUUUUAGAAAAAAAUUUAUGUCUAUUUAUGAUUUUGAUUUAACCAAUGACAUCAAAUACUUAUGAGUAAUCACAUUAAAAAAAAUUAUUUAAUUCAAAUAUUACAUAAGUUAAUUAUUUGUUUUUAACAAUGUUUAUAAUGCUUUAGUUAACUCCACGUGUAAGCUUUUAUGAAUGAGGAGAUGAGAUUCUUGAAAUAAAAUAAAUUGAAAGAAUUAGUAGAUUAUCCGAUUGGAAAAAAAUGAUUAGGAUGUCGAUAAAUGUAUAUGUAAUAUAAAACACAUGGUAGAGUUGAGAUAUGCAAAGAUAGAUUAGUAAUAUAGGAAUAUACACAAGCAUAUGAAAUAAAUUACACUAAAAUAUUUGUUCUCAUAUUCAAAAUUAGCACAUUUUGAGUAUUAUUAUCUCUAGUUUUAAUUGAUCCUUUCAACGUUGAUAAAAAAAAAAAUGUCUUCUUAUAUUGAUAAUUGUCUAAAGAAGUUUAUAUGAAAUAAUUAGAAAGAUUAGAGAUUUCGAAUAUACACGAAAACAAGGUAUACAAGUCGAAUAAAUGAAUAUAUUGACUAAAACAUUCAAACAACCAAGUCAAUGAUGGAUUUUGAAUGUCAACAUAGCAACUAAAAUGAUACAUUACUUCUUAUGAUAUAUGUUGGUGAUAUGAUACUUAUGAGAGAUGAUUUAGAAGAAUACAAAACAUUGAAAUAGUACAAAAAAUUUACGACAUGAUCUUAAGCCUUUGAAAUAUUUCAUUGAAACAGAGGUCUCAAAAUCAAACUCCAACUAAUAAAAAGAGAUAUCAAAGACUUCUAAUGUAUUAUUCCUCCCCAGAUCCCAAAUCAAAGUUAACUUAAGGUCUUAGUGUAAUUAGCUAAACACAUGAAUGUUUUCUAAGAUACUUAGGGAAAAGAAACUUUGUUAAAACCACCAACUAUAAGGAUGUUAUGGUUUAUACUAAUAGAUAUUGGACAGGUCUUCUUGAUAAUAGAAUAUGAACCUUUGGAUUCUUCAUAUUUAUAGAGGUAACAUCAUAAAAUGAAAAGAAACAAAAGGUUGUAACUAUAUACAUUACAUAUAAAUACUAAAAAGAAUGCUCUAUGAAGGUUUCAGACCGAUUCAAAAUCCAGUUAUGUACAAUUUCUCGUUCGAUUGUAUUGUGAUAAUAAUAGUUGCAAGAUGUUUAUUGUCCUGUUCAAGAUGACUUUAAUAAAGUAUUGCAACAUGUAAAGGUUGAUAAUUAUUUUCAUCAAAAUAAAAGUUUGACAUAUUAUUACGACAAGUCACAGUAUUGGAGAUUAUUAAAUAAGUUAAGAAUAUACAACAUUCAUUUUCCACCUCAAGAGGAAGUAUUUAUAUAAAUAUCUUUGAUCACAUAAAAUGUGAAUUUAUAUGACAAUAAUAAAAAAAAUUAUAAUAAUGAAAAUUUCCUUAAUUUAGUAUGAUUGAUUUAUAAACUUUCUUGUUUAACUACUGAUUAGUAAGAGUAAAAUGCUAAAACCACAAACGAGUCUAUAUAUACAAAAAAAAAUAUAUUAAAAUCACAUAAUGAAUUAUUUUUUGUUUUUAUCAUACAAAAUUAUAUAAAUAAAAAUCAUAGAGGAAAUCCUAUUACCUUAGCAAUAGCACUCAGCGGUUGAUUUAGGUGAGUUGUUCUGGGGUUACGAAGUCAAUAAAGAAUGAUGGCUUUGAGGAUGAGUUCAGUUGAUCUCGAGGGAAAAAAAGGGUACACACCAUGAUUUUGGGAUUUCAGCAUUUAAUUCAGAUUAAUCAAUGCUGCCAUUUCUCAAAUUCUCAAUCCUUGACCGUCAAAACAUUACCCAACCGAUUCCAAAACCCUCCAGUUGUUGUUGGUGCUUGCUCAAGAGGGUCCUUAAAUUUUGCUCUCUCGCCUAACUCUUCGAAAGAAUCUACAAGGUUCUGGAGCCUUGCCACAAAUUCGAUCAGAAGGGAUGUAAAAGUGGCUAGAGACAAAGAACUAGCACUUUCAUAAGUUUUAGAUUCUUCCUCUUUUGUCACUGCAUCUGCUGUGAAGGAAAUAUGAGCAGGCCAAGAUAUCUGUUUCCUGAACAUGUUUUCAUCACCAACACCUACAGGCACUGCAGGUUUCUUCUCAGGAGCUGCUUGUUCUCCCCAACCUUUUGGAACUUUGACAGCUCUGAGAUCAAGCACAGCUUCACUUAGAGACUUGUACUCCAAAAAGUGUCUUUCUUCAUCCACGUUCAAGAGAUCUUGAGGAUCACCCUCCCCUCUUGGCCGGUUUCCGAUUUCCCAGCUCUCUGAAUUCACAAGGAGGAAGGAUUUUUUGUCAAUUUUCUGCUGCAAUUCUUCUGCUGCCUCGUGUACUUCGUAAAGAAUGUCUUCCUCGCCUAGUUUCUCCAUUUUUUUUACUUUGUUUCCGAGAUCCCUUAGAAUUUUUGCCCCUUCAGAACCUACCUUCUGAAGCUCCCUUUUAAAGACUUGUCUCUUCUCUGGUGGUGCCUGUUUAUUACAAGGGAGGCUAAGUACACGUGUGUUUUUGCAUAAAUCAUUAAAAAAAAACGUUUGGAAUAAGAAUUAAAAUUUCCCAACUAUUUAACUUUAAAUUAUCCGAAAUUUUGAAGUAUUCUCUGUCAGGAGAAAGAACACAAGAAAAGUAAUGUAAAAUUCAUUGAAAUCAUAAGCAACUAUCACUUAAAUUAUAAAAGUAUCAUUGUACUCCCCAAAGUUACUAAAAUGGCAGUCAUUUUAGUCCCUCGUGUUCUCAAACAUCAAUCUUACAAUCUUUGAAAUUAAAAAAAUAACAACCAAAAUUAUCAAUGGCUGGUAUAAGGACUGAAAUUAGAUUUUUUAUAAUUUCAGGCACUAAAUUAACUAGUAAUUGUAAUUUCAGGGAGUAACUAAGUACCUUACUCCAAAAAUACAUAGUAAAGGAUAUUUUAAUAGAUAUCUGAAGUGUGUUUUUAAGAUUGGAAAGAGAGUAGAGAAAUGGAGAAGAAAAGUUUCCCAAAAUUUCUAAGAAUUAAUUACAAACCUAAAAUAUGAACUGUACAAACAGAAAAACAGUUACAAAGAUAGUUAACUAUUCCUAACUAACUCCUAACUAACUCCCUGAUCUAUAAAGUCUAAACCACAUAAUAACACCACUUAUAGAUGUUAUGGAUAACUUAUUCCACCAAAGUUUCAAGCGUAAAUCAACGCACGCAGAGGGUACCUCCUAGCAGUAAUUUAGUUACUUCAUAUGAUUAGGAACCAUAACAGCAAUUGUGAAAGUAAAUUUAGAAGAAUUGGAACACAUUAUACCAAUAUACUGUUUUUGACAAGAAAUAGAAAAGCGAAAUAGUACUUUGGCCUCAUAAAAGCUUGAGUUAAUGCAGUGACCAUAUUCAACCUAUGAGAAUUAGAAAAGACAGCACUGAUUAGCAUGUCAAAUAUGACGAGGUGAAAACAACCUCAAGUUUAUCCGUUUCCAUGUCAAAAUUAACAGAAGGAUUUGUAAGCGAGAAACAAUAUACUGAAUCCCAGUAUGUAUCAGGUACCAGUAGUGUACACAUGGGGUAUAGUUGGGUUAAAGUUAAGAUCUGACUGCAUCUCUCGUUCAGCCACUAAGAAUACAAGAUUCGGGGGCUGAAGGGGUUAAUAGUGGAUAAUAAAAGUUAAGAGAAGCUGAAGUAAUAUUAGCUUUCUGAACUUGGGGAUCAAAGUAAUUGACAGUGGAUUACAAAAAAUGAAGCUAAAUUCCAGUAUGUCUGAGUAAAAUUGAUUUUUCCAGGUCUAAGGUUUAAAAUCAGUAGACAUUUCUCCAUAAACCCAAAUGGUUUAAUUUAAUAGUCGAUCUCAGUUUAGGAAAAAAAAACUUAGAUGAAGUUUGUUAAGUGCUUUUGGUUUUGUUCUCUGAUCAUAAUUAAGGGUUCAGCUGAAUAACCUAUGCUGACCCAUAGUGCAAAUCUUUAUAUCAAAAGUACUUAAGGAACUUGAUAUACGUUUUGUUCUAAUGAAUCCUCAGGUUCUGACACCUCACAUUGCUAGCCUCAAAACACCAACAGUCGAACCUGGAGUAAUUUUUUAAUCCCUAUUUAAAUAAACUAUCAAUUGUUUUUAAAACAGUAUAUGAAUCAACCUUGAAAAUUACCUUUUCUCUAAGUAUUAAACAUUUAAAACAAUUAAUAGAACUAACAUAUUCCAGUGAAAAAACAAACAUGGAGGGGAAUAAAUCAAGAAUGAUAACAAAAUAUUAAAAUAACAGAUCAUCACAAGAUCUGUAUAUUGAAAAACUAAAUCCUAAAAACCGUCCACCAAAAGUAAAUACAAAAGAUUCUAAACACUCUGAUGUCUUUGGAACAGAAAAGUUUUAAGAAGUACCUGUAUUUCAGAAAGUAUACAUCCAUGCAUAGCCAUGACCAUAAAUGCACAAUGCCUUAGAGCCCCACUUACUUUCACAUAAUUUUGCCAUGGAUAUCUAAGCAUUUUAUAUCUACCAUGAGGUGGCUCCCAUACAGCAAAACCCAUCUUCAAUAAGAAAUACGUAUCAAUGAGUCAAAAAAGGAUAAUCAAUAUUUUGCUGUGAAAGUGAAACAGAACAAAAACAGAUUAUACUAAUGAAUCCUCUGUGCUUGUAGAUUCAACAGCUGAUCUGUAGCCUUUGUAAACCACAUCCUCUGCAGCUUGGUAUGUAAGAAUUUUAGAAGGCACUCUCUCGUAUUCAACACAAUUAAGAUAGUUAUUAACAACGCCUGAAAAAGAAGGUCAAAAACUUUAUUCAACCCAAGAAAUAAGAUUAUGAGGCCACACCAAAAUAUUAGUUGGUAGUCUAUUACAAUUCCACAAACUAUGACAACCUUCCAAUGAUGCAGCAACGCCCAUGAAAUUUUUUGCCACAAGAUUAUGCAGAUCCUCACCGGCCCAUAUUGGAUAUAUGCAUACAUUUAUCCCGAGUGCGACAGCAGCACCAAGUGCAAUGAGCAAAAAUCUAUUUAUAGCUGUUUGAACAAACUCUCCUGUUCGAUACCCUGACACAAUAAUGUAGCAAUAGGUGAUCAAGAACACACGGAAACCAUAUUCAUAAGCCUUCAUUGUUGGAUAUUGUUUUGCAUAUGUGGCACAAAAUCCUGCCAGUCAUACAUAAUAAAACUGUCAGAACAAUGCAUACUAAAAAAAGAAAAAAAAAAUUGAUGAAUCUUUAUCAGCAUAAGAAAUAGAAGUGAUUCAAAUUCCAGACCUACAGUGAAGAUGCUAACAGUUAUGAUGAGCUCUUCCCAUUUUCCAGCCAACUGUGAUAAGAUUCCCAUUCCCAAAGCUAGACCUCCAGCUAACAAAGUCCCCAAUCCUCUGUUAAGUCCUUUACUAAGAGUUGCCCCUGCAGGAGUACAUUGUCACAAAUUAUUGUUUAUAACUGAAAUUAUAAUUUACGAAUACAUGUUUUACUUCAGCCAAUGAUUUUUGAUAGAAGUAUUGGAUUUAAUAAAAGAUGAAGUACAUGAACACAGUUGAAUUAAAUAAGUAGGCCUUCGAACAUGCAGCAGAAAAAACUAUAGCCUGUGAUUUCGUUCGUUACAAGACAGAAGAAAUCUAUAAGGAAACAAAAGUAAAACAUUUUUAAUAAAGGAAACAAUAUUUAAAAGCUCAAAAUAAUAUUUAACAAAAAAAUUGAGUUUUCCCGACCACUGCCCUGAAGACACUGGUCAACAAGUACUUUUCCCUAGAUUAGUAUUAUUUUUCUAGACAAACUAACUAAAUUAACAGAACCAACAUAUCACUCUACCACGAUAGAAUAUUUUAACUGAAUUCCUUCUACCUCCCCAAUGACCCAAUCAAAAUACAAAAUUAUACGUCUACUGAAAAGGUUUAAGGCCUUUAUGCACUAAUACAGGCAUAUUCUUCGCCAAUUCCCCUUGAGGAAGAGGAAUUAAAACCCCCAAAACGAAAACGAAAAUAAAAAUAGGAAACAAUUAUCUUAAUCCAUAGCGGAUACGAAUGACAACAACUUGAGCACGGACAACACUUUAUAUUAAUUAGGUCUUAUAAUUAAAAACAAAAAAGAGAGAGACAUGAAUUUGGUUGUCAAUCGCAUGUUCAAAUUUUGUAUGUUACUUUAGGUUUAAGUGAUAAAAGGACUAAGUUCGAGCCAAUUAUACGAAUCACGUGCAAUUCUAGACACUAAUAAUAAAUGUCUUUCUGGAAAGAAAAAAGUAAAAGGAAAGAGGUAUACUUUUUAAAUGUUAAAAAAUAAAGCUAUGAUUUUGAUGAACAUCAUGCUUAUAUCUAAUGAUGAGAGUUUAAUUCAGGUACAUAACACUACAUGAGUUUUCUAUACAGUUUUCUACACCGACCCUCAAUUAGAAAACAGACUCAGGCGCAUCCAGUGUAUUUAUGUAUAUAGUAUUUAUAUAUGUUAUUCGACAUUUUUUUUGCAUAGAUAUAUUCAACUUUAAAUUAGCUAUAGUUUCAAUAUUUGCUAAUUUCAUCUUAGAAAGCUAAAUUCCAAAAUAUUCUUUGAUUAAAAAUUCCACGAUAAUUUAGGUGAGGAGAUGUAAUUUUUCUUUUUAUAGUUUCAAUUUUUAUUGUAUAAUUGACCCACAUUUGUCCUAAGGAGAAAUACUCUUGGCUAAAUCGCAUACGACACUAUAAAUAAUAGUGAAUUCAACACUCAAACUACAUAAUAAAUCCAAAAAGAAACUUAAUCCAAAGAAAUCCUACUACUUUCUAUUUAAAAAUCAAAUCCAAAUUUUAAUAUAAAAAACAACAAAUGAACCAAUUCAGGUGGGGUCAACUAGAUUCUUGACUUUAAGUAAGCAUUAGGAAAUAACUGAAUGAGAUUAACUAUUAGUAUCAAAUUUAAUUUACAUCCUAAAACGUUAAAUAGUGUGUUAAUUUACAAAAAAUCAUGAUUCUGACAAAAAACUCUCUCCAGUAAUAUUUUUCAAGGAUUUGAGAAAGAUUGUUCUGAAGAAUUCUGAAAAAGGAGAGUAGAUUGAAGGAUGAGAUACCUAUGCUGAAUUCGAAGACCACAACUACAGUGAGAAUAGCCCAAACGGAGUAUCGACUAACGUCCUCAAAGGGCUUUUUGAGGAAAAUCAGAAGAGAAAGGAGAAUGAGAGCGAGUCCCAUUUUUGCGGAGAAUAUGAUCUUCCUGGGAUCAGACAUCCCCAUCUCCCACGCUCGCGCCGUCACGCGCUUCGUGCUCUUCCACGCGCCGAUUAUCCCGUCGGAGACAGCGCGGUAUGAGCAGCAUCGCCUCCGCGGCGAGUUGUCCUCCUCGUCGGACUCCGGCAGAGCGAUCCCAAUUUGGGAGUAACCUCCACCCUUCAUGGAGAGCAGCCUCUCUUUCUUCUCGGCGAAGCUGUGACGGAAGGAGCCCAACUUGGGCACCCUCGCCGCCGAACUCAUCAUCGCCACCAAAAUCGGAGCAAACGCAGACGCGAGUUUGGAGUUGCUAGAAAGGUGGAAUAGUGUUUCCGAAGCGUGGCGGUGUAGGAAUGCUAUAGAAGUUAAGUCGUGUUUGUUUGUGGUUAUGAAGAGCCACUAUGUACAUAACGUGAUUACACGACGACAUGGAUCUCGCAAUUCUAUUUUCUACUGUAAUCAUCUAAAUUAUUCUACUUUAUCUUUAAAAUACAAUAAAUAAAAGUUAGUAUCAAUUUUGUAAAAUAUAAAAACAUUGUUUUAUUCGAAACAAUUAAUAAAAUAUUUAUUUAUAGAUGCUAAUGUUAAUUUAUUAACAAUAAAAAUAAGGUUAAUAACCAUUUUAAAAUUAACAUAAAUGUGAUAACAAACAUCGACGAGAUGAUUUUGCUAGCAAUCUUAAGGUAAUAAAUUGAGUAUAGGAUUUCAUAAAAGUUUAUGUGGCUAAAAAUGUUACAAAAUAUAAUAUGUUAAACAUCUAUACAAACAUUAUAUAUAUUAUAAAAUAACAUCAAAUAAAUAUUAAUGUAGCAUUUAAUACUAUAAAUUGAUUGUACAUUUUAAAUAGUUAAAUAAAUAAUUUUUUUUAAUAUCAACUUAUUGUAUUAUUAAAUGCAUAACUCUUUUUAUAAAUACAUUUUAGUAAUAGAUUGAGAUUUGACCUUAUACUAAUUUAUCUAUCAUCGUUGUUAAUAUAUAAGGAUAAUGAUAUAUAGACAAUAUUAUUUUAAUAAUAUUUGAACAUUAUUUAUGUGUUAUGUUUGGUCCAUGUUGUUUAUGGUUAUUAUUAUUAAUUAUAAAAUAAUUUUAAAUUAAUCACAGAAUGAUAUAUAAAUAAUGUUAAAAUAGUGUAAAAAAAUAUUAUCUAAAUAAAAGAUCCUUAAAUGAAUUAGUAACGGUUUUAUUAACGUUGUUCAUCUACCAGUCGAACAUCAAGUUGAUGAUUCUCGCACCAAACCAAUCAGUGUUCUUCUUUUCUUGGAGACAUUAGCUUGAAGGGAUGUAAAGGAAUAAGCAAUAUACAAUUGUGUGUAUAAUAGUCUUUCCUUAAAAUAGGUUAGUGUCCUAGCUAGUGACUUUUGUCAUAUAGGUAUUUUUUCCUUUAUAUAAAGUUUUCGUCUUUUCUUUCUUUUGUACUUUUAACUUUUCAAAAAGAAUACUUUUCUUAUUCUUCUUCUUCAUGUCUUCGGAGUUUUUUUUUUUUUCAUGUUAAUGUUUCUAAGUUACAUAUAUAAAAAUAGAAACUUUAGUAAACAGAUGAUAAAACCAAUCCUACAUAAGUAUUCUUCAUGAUAUGUCUAUUAUUAAAGAAGAAAAAUUGUUCAAAAGGUAAUAUCAAAUCAUCACUAUUUCAUAGAGACAAGUUAUUAAGUUAGAAAAAUGUUUCAACGUUUUUUUUUAAUGAAAAUGAAGAGAAAAAGUGUGGAUGUAAAUAUAAGAAAAAAUUUACGUAAAACCACUUAUCAAUAUAUAUAAACAAAAUAAUUUACAUUGGACAAUGAACAUCCUAACGUAAAUUAUCUCAUUUAUGUUAGUUCAUAAGUAGUUUGAUAUAAAAUUGUCAUCACUUAUUAUUUUUAUUUCAUAUAUAAAUCUUGUGACAUCAAAGACAAUUUUUGUCUUGGUGUAAAGAUAACUCUAUUAUAAAAUAAAACUAUAUAUAAAUCUAACAAUUAUAAGCUUUAACAAACUAUGAUUAUUUAAAGCUACACCUUUUUAUUAAAAGUUAUUGUUUAAAUAAUGCAUUUGAUUUAUGCACGUAAACAUAUUAAAUUUUUCUAUAAAAUGUAUAUGCUCGUUUUAGAUAAUAAAACGUAGUAUUAUUGACUAGUUUUUUUUUUUUUUAAUUUUGAUCACGCAUGUUAAGAGUUUAAAUAUAAAUAAUAUUUUUAAUUUGUGUAAUUAAUUGGUAGUUGACCUGUGUAUAAUUUAGGUUUAACUUGCCGAUAGACGUAAUGAUCAAAUUUCCAAAGCUUACACAAGUUCGACAAAUAAUCAUCAUCACACUUAAAAAAUAAUUACAUUUUUCGUCUUUUCUAUUUCUGUCUCUUGCCAUAUCCAUGGUGUACUUAAUAGUAAAAAUGACUUACAAUGAAAAAUUAAAAGAAAAAAAUUUAAUAAUUUUAUUUUAUAAUUUUUAAAAUAAUAAUUUAUAAUUUGUCCAUUUUAAAUAUUUUUUUAAAAAUAAAUUUAUACAAACUAAUAAAGUAAUAAUAUUCGGCUAUCAAAAAUUAUUAAAAAAGUUGUUAACAAAUAUAUUUAAGACAUCGACAAAGCAUCAUAGGUGUCGAUAAAGAAAAAAAAACAUAGUUAAAAAGAAUGGCCCAAUAUACAUUUCUCGGUUAAGAAAAGCCCAACCCGUUAUACCAUGUAUUGGAGAGUUACUUCCUACACCACCUCUCCAUUCCUCUUUUGUCCUUCUAAAAUAUUUAAUUCCUGGUGUUUAAAAUGUAUUUACCUUAAACAGAUAUCUAUUGAACACUUAAACAAAUAUUGAAAUUAUGACGAAUAUCGACAUCUAUUGAAGGGCUCAACCCGUUAAAGGCUCAAUGGAUUUUCAACAUUCCUCGAAGCUUUUCAACUUUUUGUUUUAUUUUUUAAAAAUUUUUUUAGGUUUAAUACUACUUUUAGUUCCUAGUUUGAGAAGUUCUAUUUUUCUUUAGUAACAAUUAAUUUUAUUUUUUGAAAAAAAUAUUUAAUUGACUCUUUUUUUUUUAAGACGUCAAUUUUUUAACGGUCCUAUCCAAAUGUUAUUUUAACAGUCCUGACAUAAUAUUAUGUUAAAAAUCAUGUCAUCAUCGUAUACAAUAAGGAUUAUAAUAAAUAAUUUAAACUUGAAUAUAAAACUACUAUGAACAAAAAGGACUCAAUUGAACAGUUUUUUCAAAAGGUGAGAUCAAUUAUUAUAAAAAAAUGUAGGACCAUAUUGAACAAACCCUCCAAACUAAGAACCAAAAGAAGUAUUAAGUAUUUUUUUAUACAUAAAUAAUAAUACAAAAAUUAUUAAAUUACAAAAAAUCUACAGAAAUUAACAUUUACAAUGUUCAAAUAAUAAAAUCUACAAAAAAAUAAAUUAAUAAACUUAGAAACAAAACCAAAAAAAUUAAAAGAGUUGAAACGCGAAGGCGAGAUCCUUGAAGACUGAACGGAUUUCCCACAUCCGUUCAAGGGUUUGCUGUUCUCUUCUUCCUCUUACACGUUCUUCCUCUUACACGGCAUAACACAUACAUCCAUUAGAUAAGAGACUAAAUGAAACCAAACACCAAAAUAACAAAGCUUUAACAAUAAAAUUGUGAAAUGGAAGAAGAAAGGAGAAGAGACUAAUAUAGGAUGAGGGGACUGAUAUCAUUAAAUUUCAGUUAAUCAUAUCGGUUAAACACUAAAAUAGCUUGAAUAACAUUUAUAUUUAUUUUAAGUCACUGAUAUAUACACAUUAUCAAAAUUCAAGAACAUUUUUCCUAAAUUUUCCGUGGCUAACUUUCGAUUCUCUUAUCUUUAUCGAAUUGUCACAGGUGGCACGUUCUUCGUAUCUUUCACUGACACAGAAAUUCACACCCAUGCAUGGCCCGGGAAACUAAACCUUAUCCAUUUGGGCCUGUUCCACCGAUCCACCAAGUUCAGUUCGCACGUGUCAACUCAUGAUCCUCAAAACGACACCACCGCUUUCACAAAAAAUUACACCAACACGUGUCCAAGCACGUGGCAGAAGCAUCGUGCAACUCACAUGGCACGUGUCAUGCUUUUACGACCCUUGACCAGAUUUGUAUGCUUGGUUUCUCGUAUAAAAAGCCCAUGCUAGCAUGCUGCUUUUCAUCAACAACAGCACCUUCAAACACAACCUCCUAUAAUCACAACAACAUCAUCAACCAUGGCAAGUUAUCAGAAGCAGUACGAGGAUCAGGGUCGCAAGAUCGACGAGUAUGGAAACGUCGUAAGGGAAACUGAUGAAUAUGGCAACCCGGUUCAGGCUGCCAGUGUCACCUAUAUAACCUCCUCCACCGGCGGUGUUAGGGAUGACAAUAGCAAGCAACAUGAUACCAGUAAUGUCUACGGAUCAGACACCCGUAAACAACAUGGAACUAUAGGUGAUACCGGUAGACAGCAAGGACCAACCGCUGGCUUUACUGCUGACACUGGUAGACAACAUGGAACUACCGGUGGUUUUACUGGUGACACCCAUAGACAAUAUGGCACUACCGGUGGUUUGACCGGUGACACCGGGAGACAACAUGGGACUACCGGUGGUUUUACUGGUGACACCCGGAGACAACAUGACACCGGGAGACAACAUGGGACUACCGGUGGUUUUGCUGGUGAUACCGGGAGACAACAUGGGAAUACCGGCGGCUUCACUGCUGACACUGGUCUGGGAGGCCCUUACGUUGGAGCCAACACCGCUGACACAGGGACUGGUCCUAGAAGUGGAACCACAGGUGGCAGCGGCUAUGGAUCGGGUGGUGGCGCAGGUGGUGGUUAUGGAAGUGGAACUGGGCAUGGUAUCAACACUGGGGGAGCACACAGAGAUGAUGGGUAUGGAAGGGAGUAUCGUGAGCAUGACCAGUCUCGUGGAGAUCAGGACAAGAAAGGGAUAAUAGACAAGAUUAAAGAGAAGCUUCCCGGAGUACACAGUGACAACAGCAAGUAGAAACAUAUGUGUGUGUUUGCAUGCAUGUAUACUACAUAGUAUAAACAUGUUAUAUUGUUGUGUUUUUGAAUAAGUUUGCUGCAUAUAUACGUACUCGUACAGUACUGUCUUGUCGUGUAAAUGUGGUGGAUCUUGUAUAUGGUUAAAGUGUAUGCAAGAGGAAUAAAAUGUGCAUGCAUGCAAGGGAAAGAAGGCAUAGAUGUUCUGUUCUGCCAAUGCAUAUGUAAAACCUACCCUGUUGUAUAGCAGGGUGCUUCAGUUGUGUGUUUUAAAUUUUCCAAUGAAGCAACUUUUUAUUUCUUUCUUUCUUGAUCAUUUAAAUUUUAUGUGACCAGCUAUUUUCUGUUAUCACCUUCCUUAAUAUCUUUUUAACAUGCAUAAGAGAAAAAUUGUUAGAAAGAAUCACUGG